UACGUAGGUGGCAAGCGUUGUCCGGAUUUAUUGGGUUUAAAGGGUGCGUAGGCGGCUUUGUAAGUCAGUGGUGAAAUAUGGCAGCUCAACUGUCAGGGUGCCAUUGAUACUGCAGAGCUUGAGUACAGAUGAGGUAGGCGGAAUUGACGGUGUAGCGGUGAAAUGCUUAGAUAUCGAGAGGAACACCUGAGGUGAAGACGGGUUGCUGGGCCGACACUGACGCUGAGGAGCGAAAGCGUGGGGAGCGAACAGG
rnacentral:rRNA from 1 species